rnacentral:rRNA from 1 species
CCUACGGGGGGCUGCAGUGGGGAAUAUUGGACAAUGGGGGGAACCCUGAUCCAGCCAUGCCGCGUGUGUGAAGAAGGCCCUCGGGUUGUAAAGCACUUUCAGUGAGGAAGAACGCCUGGUGGUUAAUACCCAUCAGGAAUGACAUCACUCACAGAAGAAGCACCGGCUAACUCCGUGCCAGCAGCCGCGGUAAUACGGAGGGUGCGAGCGUUAAUCGGAAUUACUGGGCGUAAAGCGCGCGUAGGUGGCUUGAUAAGCCGGUUGUGAAAGCCCCGGGCUCAACCUGGGAACGGCAUCCGGAACUGUCAAGCUAGAGUGCAGGAGAGGAAGGUAGAAUUCCCGGUGUAGCGGUGAAAUGCGUAGAGAUCGGGAGGAAUACCAGUGGCGAAGGCGGCCUUCUGGACUGACACUGACACUGAGGUGCGAAAGCGUGGGUAGCAAACAGGAUUAGAUACCCCAGUAGUC